GCACCAUUAGCUCAAUUGGUAGAGCAGCUGACUCUUAAUCAGUUGGUUGAAGGUUCAAGUCCUUCAUGGUGCA
rfam:Candidate division WOR-1 bacterium RIFOXYB2_FTLL_48_7 rifoxyb2_full_scaffold_1637, whole genome shotgun sequence.